GCACCGGUGGUCUAAUGGCAUGACUUUGGCCUUCCAAGCCAACGAUCCGGGUUCAACUCCCGGCCGGUGCA
rfam:Halogranum amylolyticum strain CGMCC 1.10121 genome assembly, contig: Ga0070203_102